AACGAACGCUGGCGGCAGGCCUAACACAUGCAAGUCGAACGGGUACCUUCGGGUACUAGUGGCGGACGGGUGAGUAACGCGUGGGAACGUACCCUUUGGUUCGGAAUAGCCCUGGGAAACUGGGAGUAAUGCCGGAUACGGUCGAGAGACGAAAGAUUUAUCGCCGAAGGAUCGGCCCGCGUUGGAUUAGGUAGUUGGUGGGGUAAUGGCCUACCAAGCCGACGAUCCAUAGCUGGUUUGAGAGGAUGAUCAGCCACACUGGGACCGAGACACGGCCCAGACUCCUACGGGAGGCAGCAGUGGGGAAUCUUAGACAAUGGGGGAAACCCUGAUCUAGCCAUGCCGCGUGAUCGAUGAAGGCCUUAGGGUUGUAAAGAUCUUUUCAGUGGGGAAGAUAAUGACGGUACCACAGAAGAAGCCCCGG
rnacentral:rRNA from 1 species